AAUAUCUGUUCUAUUUUUUGCUAAUGUAAAAGUUAUCCAAAUAAUAACGUCUAUUAAUUAAAGAGUCAUUUGGCAACACUAUUUUAGGUGCAGAUCUAUUGCAGCAAAUAUUUAACAAUCAGUUAAUGUCUCAUCAGGAGCUUCAGAUGUGUUUCACUAUUAAAUGUGAACCAAAGCUGAGCUGUGAGUGUAUCCUCCUGUGGUUGAAACACUACUGAUUGAACAGUAAAUUAAAUUUUUUUCACAUGACUAACAAUAUGGCUUAGCAUUUUUAUUGAUUUAUUUUAAAUAUGCAACUUUGGAACAAACCUGCAAUUGUUAUUCUUGAAUCAACAUAAGGGCUGAGUAUCCUCAGUGCCAUCAGCUCACCGUCUGCAGGUGCACCUGUGCUUGGUUGGGGGCCUCUUCUUGACUUGCUGCUGGUCUGGGGCUGUAUAGAUUCUUGAAGGAGGAAAAUGCUUUUCUCCUCAAAUUCAUCAGCUAAGAUCCUGGGAAAUGCACUCACAGUAAGAGAAAAUGACAAUAUGUU